rnacentral:rRNA from 1 species
UGGGGAAUAUUGCACAAUGGGCGCAAGCCUGAUGCAGCAACGCCGCGUGAACGAUGAAGGUCUUCGGAUCGUAAAGUUCUGUUGCAGGGGAAGAUAAUGACGGUACCCUGUGAGGAAGCCCCGGCUAACUACGUGCCAGCAGCCGCGGUAAUACGUAGGGGGCUAGCGUUAUCCGGAUUUACUGGGCGUAAAGCGCGCGCAGGUGGUUUAGAAAGUCUGAUGUGAAAGCCCACGGCUCAACCGUGGAGGGUCAUUGGAAACUAAUAAACUAGAGUGCAGGAGAGAAAAGUGGAAUUCCUAGUGUAGCGGUGAAAUGCGUAGAGAUUAGGAGGAACACCGGUGGCGAAAGCGGCUUUUUGGCCUGCAACUGACACUAAGGCGCGAAAGCGUGGGGAGCAAACAGG